UGGGUAUGUGUGCUUAUAGGCUUCCUC
rnacentral:piRNA from 1 species